rnacentral:tRNA from 2 species
CGGAGCGUAGCGCAGCCUGGCAGCGCGCUGGCAUGGGGGGCCAGAGGUCACCGGUUCAAAUCCGGUCGCUCCGACCA